GUCUUCCGCCUCCCCUCCUGUCCCACUGGAAGGUCUUCAGGGGCAAUAACAAGCGUGGAGCUUCAUUUCCUCUGAUAACAAUGCCUUCUUCUCGAAUCCUUCCUGGAGGACCUGUCUGAGGAUGUUUUCCAGCUAGCUUUUUUUUCAUAAGUAGAAAGAGUACACUAAAAUAACAGCAAAAAGUAUAGUAGAUACAUAAACCAGUACCAUAGUCAUUUAUUAUCAAGUAUUAUGUACUAUACAUAACUGGAUGUGCUAUACUUUUAUUAUACAACUGGCAGAGCAGUCAAUUUGUUUACCCCAGCAUAACCACAUACAUGUUCUGCUUGAAUUCUUGCCCUGGCUCUUGGUGAAGGAUCGGCCUGCUGGAUCUGAGUCAUCCACCUAUAAGAGGGACAACACCACACAUUGGUCGCUGCUCUCAAGCCCCUGGAAUACCACCCCACUUGGCUUCUCCUGAGAUGGGCUCUCACUAUAGCCCUGUUCUGGAACUCCUGGGCUCAAGCCAUCCUCCCACUUUGGCCUCCCCAAAAUGCUGGGAUUACAGGCGUGAACCACCGCAUCUAGCCUAAAAUUAUAUUGUUAAAAGACUUUGUUUCUCAGUUUGGGAUAAUCAGAAUUCAUAGUUCUGAUCUCGACUACCAGUUUUAAUGAGGUACUUCUUUCUAACUCCAUCAGCUGUGUGGCUAUCUGCAGAUACCACCCACAUAAACAAAAACUUUUUGGGAGUCCUCCAGAAUUUUUAAGAGUUAUCUAAACUAUUGCCUUUAAUGACCAGGAACUCCAAUUUGAGAAGUUACCCUACGUUAAGCCAACAGCAGCCUGGCUCCUUCAUCCUGUGCAGUAUGGGACAGAGCUGGGUCCUUGUUGUCAUCAGCCAGACAAGCACACAUUAAAGCCCACCUUAGCCAUUGGCAUUACAGCUUUAAAAGCAGCUCCAUCCUACCAUGCUGUCACUCUACUCAAUCACGUGAUCUUAACGACCAGCUCUACAUAUCCUCUCUCCAUGCCCCCACCACCAUCCCCCACCAACAAAUCCGGUAAUCUAUCUCUGUCAAUAGUCCUGCAGUGAAUUCCGAAUAAGUUUUUCUCUUCCCUGGCCUGCCGUUUACGUAGUACCCUGGAUGAAUCUAUACUUACUCCAUAGUAAGUAGUACCUUGGAUGAAUCUAUACUUGCAUCCAAUGGAAAUGAGAGUGAUGGUGCAGAGUUAUCCGAAGUAACUCCAGCUAUGUUGUGGAUCUUCUAAUCAUGGGCUCAUCUAAGCCUUCCCAGAUAUCACUCUAGUUUUUACAAUCUUUGUUUAUGACAAUUAGGGCUGUAACAUUGGCUGUAGACAUUUGUUGCAUCAAGGAACUCAGCUUCCACUGAAGUUCUGAAGUUAAUCAGUUUCUGAUCUUGUUCUGCAACUCUCUGCAAGAAGAAAAAUCACCAGGAAAUAGUGCAUCCUGAAAGGAGUCAAAGUUUCCUUAUCCAGCUGGAGCAGUGUGAUCUCGGACCAGAGUCAAUUCCUUGCCCAACAGACUUCACAUUGAGCCAUGAGAAGCAGCCUACUUACCCUUACCUGGACACUUCUCCAAAACCUGUGAAAUGGCCUCUGUCACUGCCUCAAAGCCUCAUCCUUGGUGGGCAACUCACCUGGAUCCUGAGACCAAAAUAUAGAGCUUAAUGAACUGC
ensembl:lncRNA LINC02020 long intergenic non-protein coding RNA 2020